GAAAUGCGAUAAGUAGUGUGAAUUGCAGAAUUCAGUGAAUCAUCGAAUCUUUGAACGCACAUUGCGCCCCUUGGUAUUCCAUGGGGCAUGCCUGUUCGAGCGUCAUCUACACCCUCAAGCUCUGCUUGGUGUUGGGCGUCUGUCCCGCCUCUGCGCGCGGACUCGCCCCAAAUUCAUUGGCAGCGGUCCUUGCCUCCUCUCGCGCAGCACAAUUGCGUUUCUCGAGGUGUGCGGGCCGCGUCCACGAAGCAACAUUACCGUCUUUGACCUCGGAUCAGGUAGGGAUACCCGCUGAACUUAA
rnacentral:misc_RNA from 1 species